GGAUGUUUUGUGUUUUUUCGUAGUUAAAACUCGCGUCUGGGUGAAGCGUCAGCGAUCAACAAAAUCCGAUUUCUCUGGACCGUCAGCAACCGACGACGGCAGUUGGUGUCAGCAAACCAAAAGGUUCGGAAAAAUUUCUUGCAAAAUGAUCCAAUGCCGAUGGCUUUCCAUUCCGGAAAGAAAAUCAAAUGAAAAGAACUCAGCUGGCCAGUUUGAGUUGUUGUUCCGAUGUUCGGACAAGUUUCGCAGAGUAAAUAUCACCGAAGUAAAUUUGAACUUGCGGAACCGGCGGAGGAUCUCAGAUUUGGCGUUUUAUCAACUUUAAGAAGUAGGUGUAACUUCUAAGCGGCCUUCAAGCAUGCAUCAGGUUAUGUACUGCAUACGUUCGGACGUUACAAUAUAUAACUGUUAAAAUGAAAUAUGAAGAGCAUGUUCCUGUUUGGACCACCCUACUCUACAAUCCGUUUAAAAUUUAAAUUACUAUAUUGAUUCCGCAAAGAUACCUUGGAAAGACAAAUUGCUAAAAAAAUAGUUAUAAAUUGUGUCUGUCGUGUGUCGUGUGUUCUACGCAAACCCUGCUGCAAGCGAUUUAAAAAAAACGUCAACAUCGAAGACGCAAAUCAAAUCCUCACGGUUUCGUGGUGCACAACUGGUGUUGAAUUUGAGCCAAUGGAGGUACAAUUUCGUGGCGUGUACCAGCUGGAUAACUUUCAAGAUUUCCGUUUCCGAAACACGUGUACACGCUCUUCAUAGUCGACAGGCAGCUAUACCGUUUUCCACAUUCACCAGUAGAAGCUUUUCUGUUUCUCUGCAUCACGAGUCACUUUUUGGCAUAGGAAGCACAACAAAGUAAUGGGAGAAAGAAUCAUCAACCAAUAUGAAAACGCUUUUCCAGUUUAUUGUUUCCUUCUGGCGGCUCAAAACAAACCCACUUGCAGGCACACAACAAAACAUGCUGGGCGGUUUUGUGAUGAGUUGUAAGUACGGUUACUCAAAACGCCGCUGUGCUUGGGAAACGGAGAAAUGUAACCGUUCAUUUUACUUCCGAAAUACGAAAACCGAAAUGUGGAAACUUAUGGCGGAAGAAGAUGGUUUCCUCAGCACCAGCAACAUCACAGUCAACCAAACCGUGUUCCCAGAAGGUUGCCACUAAUUAGCCCAAAUGAGAUAGUUAAUUAUUGGGAAGUUGUUUUGUUGUGCUGAGGAAUA